AGAAACCGCCGAGAUCAAGAUCGGGAAGAGAACUAUGCAGAUUGUCCAACGCACCCUAAUCUCAGCCUCGCAUGUCGUUGACCUCUUCCUCUCUGAUACUCCUUCAUCACCUGCGAUUACUCCGGAAUUGAACAGGUAACAAUCCCUAACUGAAACUCGAUCAUUUGUGUAACGAGUAUGAUCGAAUCGAAAGUUUCUCGACAUCUUUCACUCCUUUUUUUUUCUCUCAUGCGUGGAGGAUUUGUGCAUCAGGUUGACCAAGCUUGCCUGAGAAGAAAGAGAACAUCUAAUGCAGCUUCUUGAGUUGGUUCUGAGCCAGAGUUAAGGGCGGUCAAUAGGUGUGUGAUGCUUAAGGUUGCAGUUCGGUGGCUCUCAAAUGUGGGAAAUUACCAAAAAGGGCAUUUAGAGCCUUUAAAAACCCUUCAUUCACUGUUCCAUUCGCCUAUAUAUCCUUUUCAAUAGCAAAUGAAGGGACUGCCUGUUAUACAAACAAAUUCAAAGGGAGGUCCACCAAAAGACAAUGCCAUCAAUUGGUGUCAAUCUCACUGGUAAAUCUACUAAAGAUGUGGAUUCACGAACCAUUUUUGUUAGCAAUGUUCAUUUUGUUGUUACCAAGGAUAGUCUUUCUCAGCACUUCAACAAGUUCAGGGAUGUAUUUAUAUUAACUGGAGCUGCAUUGGGAUUAGAGGUGCACAAAAUAACCGGUUAAUUAACCGUAACCGGUUAUUAACCGAAACCGUAACCGGUUAAUAACCGAUUUAGGAAUAACCGGUUCAAUAGGUUAUUUAACCGUAGGUUAGUAACCGGUUAUAAGUGUUUAGUAUAAUAACCGGUUAUUAACCGGUAUUUUUAAACCGGUUUUUUAACCGAUAGACUGGUUAACCGAAAAAAUAACCGAAAAAUUCAAAAAAAAGGCAAAAAAACCUGUUAAUAACCGAAAAUAACCGGUUAAUUAACCGAACCGGUUAAAGUAAUUAACCGGACCAGUUAAAAAAAUAACCGGUUAAAGUAAUAACCGGUUAAAGCAUUAACCGGUUAAAGUCAAAAAGUCAAAUUAACCGGAAUAACCGGUUAACCGAUCCGGUUAUUAAAUUAACCGGUUUGUGCACCUCUAAUUGGGAUAGCCAAAUGGAUCUGUGGUUGUCAUAUGAAAUGUACCUUACCAUAUGACUAGGCCCAAUAAUCAUGACCCGUCCAUCGUCAGAUGGGUUGAUUUGAGUUAAAAAAAAAAAGUUGUAUUCGGGUUCAUUUGGGUCUACUCUACCUACACAAUGGGUCAUGUUGGGCCAGCUCUAAUUAAGCAACGGGUUAAAAUGGGUCACUCUAAAACCACCUUCUAACUUUAUAUGAGUCCAAAUAGGUGAGCAACAGCCACAACCUUUUUUGUCAUCACCACUUAUUUGUUGUCUUUGGCUGAACUUUGCACUUAUUAUUUUAAAAAAUAGCUUUAAGAAAACCGUUCAGGUUUUACGCUCUUGGAUUUCUUCAUUUUCUUCUUUAAAAAUGAAAAAAGAAUAUCUAAAAUUAAGAUAUGAAAUUUUGAUAUAAUUGAAGUUCUCACAAUGCAUACACACAAAUGUUUAGAAAUGUAACUCGGAAUGGAUGCUAUUUUUUUUGAGAGAUUUUGUGUACUUAUAAAUAAUUACUUGAAGCUCAAGUCCAGCCAGGUUAAUGUAGCAUUGGUAUUAUUUGUAGAUUUUUUUAUUAUUCCACUACGGUGGACAUGUGAAUUCGUAAAAACCAUCUCAGAUUCUUUUCCACGGUUGAGUUUGUCAAAAGUGUAUGCUCAUAUAUUGCAAAUGUGCGGUAAACGUUGGAACUUUUGUUCAACAAACCAGUUAUAGACCGUUUGUUUUGGUUGAUUUUUUUGGAUUUUUUUUUUUAAAUUUAGAGACAACUUCUUAUUUACUUUUAUUAACCACCUAUACAUUUGCUAUGCAGGAUCUGAACCCUCUUUUUUUUUUUUUUUUUAUAAAGUGAGGUACCUUACCACAGGAGGGAAACUUGGGAAUGUGCUAUUGAGAAUACCCAAGGCAAGAGAAGUAUAAGUUUUAAAUUUGUUUCAAUAAACCCAAGGAAUGAAAUAUCUUAUGCUCACAUAAGUUUUGGUGCUAUUGAACUUCUACCAUUUGUUUUUGUUCUUUUGUUCAUAUUAAAUUUAUGGCUAACUACUUGGUUUGGUGGUUG